rnacentral:rRNA from 1 species
UACGUAGGGGGCAAGCGUUGUCCGGAUUUAUUGGGCGUAAAGAGCGCGUAGGCGGCCCUGUAAGUCCGCUGUGAAAGUCAAGGGCUCAACCCUUGGAUGCCGGUGGAUACUGCAGGGCUAGAGUCCGGAAGAGGCGAGUGGAAUUCCUGGUGUAGCGGUGAAAUGCGCAGAUAUCAGGAGGAACACCGAUGGCGAAGGCAGCUCGCUGGGACGGUGACUGACGCUGAGGUGCGAAAGCGUGGGGAGCAAACAGG